GGCGGUGUAGCUCAGCUGGCUAGAGCGUACGGUUCAUACCCGUGAGGUCGGGGGUUCGAUCCCCUCCGC
rnacentral:tRNA from 1 species